GUGCCAGCCGCGGCGGUAAUACGGAGGGGGCUAGCGUUGUUCGGAAUUACUGGGCGUAAAGCGCACGUAGGCGGAUAUUUAAGUCAGAGGUGAAAUCCCGGGGCUCAACCCCGGAACUGCCUUUGAUACUGGAUGUCUUGAGGUCGAGAGAGGUGAGUGGAAUUCCGAGUGUAGAGGUGAAAUUCGUAGAUAUUCGGAGGAACACCAGUGGCGAAGGCGGCUCACUGGCUCGAUACUGACGCUGAGGUGCGAAAGCGUGGGAGCGAAACAGGAUUAGGAUACCCGUGGUACGUCCACGCCGUAAACGAUGAAU
rnacentral:rRNA from 1 species